rnacentral:tRNA from 1 species
GCUCAAUUAACUCAGUUGGUUUAGAGUGUCGCCUUGACAGGGCGGAAGUCACUGGUUCGAGUCCAGUAUUGAGCAC